CAUAGGACUGAAGGCUAAUUCCAUUAAGGACAGAGUAAAAAUGCUUCCUGGUUUAGACACAUUUGAAUGGAAACCAGGUAUAAACCACUUCAUGAUUGACGGUCGGGUUCAGGCUAAUAUUGAGUUGGAUAAUGUUAAAGAUGAUGUAAAUUCUGGAACGGAACUCGAUUCAAGAACAUCUUUAGUUUGUUAUAUCCAUGUACAUAAUGAUAAGGAAAAGAAGGUAGAAGGUAGCGUAAAGUGGGGUAUGGUUGCAGGAAUUCAUGGGGAUCGCUUAUCACUAUUACAGUCCAUGUUUGAAACUUCUUUAAACUCGGUAAUGACACACUUAAAUAUUGGUGUCUACAACAAAGAUGAAACGUUUACUUGGGAACCAAGGUGGCAAUGGAUUCAAAGGGUUGUGGAUGUGGAUUUAAAAGACUUGUAUAUGUAUUCAAAGGGAGGUUUAGGAACAAAUGUAGCAUUCAACUUUCAAAUAAUCAACGGUGCUGCUCAUGCUAAUGUUGCUAUUGGUAGGUGUUAUUUUGAGGCCAAAGAUGAGUGUUCAUUUGGAGGAGUUUGUGAAAAUAUGAGAGAACUUGUUCACAAAAGAUAUAACAGGGCCAAGAAAAUUGUAUUAACAUCAACAAGAGAUACCAAAGAAAGUACAGUAUUGCAACAAGGAUUUAAAGUUUCUGUCGUUGAUGGUGAUAAAAAUCAAGCAUUCUUUUUUGUUUUUGACACUUUUGAUUAAUGGGUUGGGUUGUUAUUUUGGACUUUUGAGGUCAAAAGUCUUAUAGGAGGGAACUAUUGUUACGUGUCAAAAUAAGUUGAGGGGCCUCAAUGUAAUUGUUCUAUAGUGUAGGGGGUUAUUGAUUCGUUAGUGACUAUAUAGUUGAGUGUGUUGUAACAGAUGGGUAUCGAUGAAUUGAUAAGGGUUUUCCCUCUUCUUCUGUGUUUCUUCCUUUCUUUUAUCGAUCUAUCCUGAUUACCAUUUCUGAUCGUAUCAAAGGGAAAGAGAGAGAGAGAGCGCGCACAGGAGGAAAGGCAGAGCCCGGUCAAUCAACGGCGGUCUCCGACGCUGGUUUCUUGCUGGAAACAAUUGUCGUCAAUUUCACUUUUAUCUCCGAUAUAACCUGGGGAUAAUCACAACAUAAGAACUCCAGGAGUCACCGAUUCACUUUUUGUACUUAUCUCUUGAUGGAGGAUCACUCUAAGGUUCUCCAGCCAUGUCUAGGGUUACAUCUCGUGAUUACAGCCGAUGGGGAUACAGAUUUCGCCUCCCCAUCCCUUCACAGUAAUCGUUUCUCCUUUAUCGCAAUCCAUCCCGUUCGUUAUUUGAUUUUGUUUGUUAUUGUUGUGAUUGCAUUCAUGCUGGGUAACCGAUUUCAAUUGAUUAUGUCUGUGGUGUGAGGGUGAAAGGAGAAGAGUCAGUUCUGACUGGACUUACUCUGGACCAUUCGACCUCGCCCACGAGUUAGAGGCAUUGGUGGGACAACAUGGGACGUACACGGAUGUUGAUGUGGGAAGACGGGUUUUGUAGAGGACGAAUGGCGGAUUCUUUAGAAGAAAUGGAUGCAGCAGGGGAAGAUCCUGUUAGAAAAGCCUUCAGCAAAAUGUCAAUUUAGUUGUAUAAUUAUGGAGAUGGGUGGGUAGUUGGUAGGUGUUUGUUAUCAAUUUUAAGAUUAAUGGGAAAAAUUGCUUCUGAUAAGUGUCACAAAUGGGUCUUCAAAGAACCUUCAGAAUGUGAUCAGAGCAUAUCUAACUAUUGGCAAAGUUCUUUUGAUGCUUCGCCGGUUGAAGUGAGGAGGAUAUUCACAAUGGGGCUUCCGUCUCACCAUGCUGGACAGAUUCUUUUUGGACCGAACUAUGUGUACUUGUAUUUCAUGAUGGGGGAUGGUGGUGGAGGUGAUCUAUACAAUUUUGCACAGAACAAGUCUUUGCUUGCCAAUUUUGCACAGAACAAGUCUUUGCUUGCCAAGAUUAUGAGAUUUGACGUCAAUGACAUACCCAGUGAAUCAGAAGUCACUCGUCUUCGACUAUGGGGAAACUAUUCUAUCCCGAGUGACAAUCCGUAUAUCGAAGAUAAAGAUUUAAAGCCAGAAAUCUGGGCCUUAGGAUUACAGAACCCAUGGCGUUGCAGCUUUGACUCCGAAAGACCAUCGUAUUUCAUGUGCGGAGAUGUAGGCCAGAAUGACUAUGAAGAAAUGGAUAUAAUCACAAAAAACGGGAACUACGGGUGGCGUAUCAUUCUUGUGAUUUAAAGGCUUUCUUGGUUUGCCGCAUUACAAGUUUAUGUUGAUGGCACCACAACGUUGUCAACACAUGAAAAGAACCUAACAUUAGAGAAUUUUAUGGUGGCAAAUGGGCUCACAGUUGAAGGAAUAUUGGAGAACUGGUUUGAUAAUUUACCAGUUGUGAUGAAAGAAUGGAGUGAAAACAAAAAGGAACUUAUAGAUCUAUUUGAUGUAGUUAGGGAUGAAUGGGUGGAAAAUAAUGUGGAUGCAUGGUUGGGAGCACACAGGUGAUUUUAAUUUUUGAAUUUGUCAAAAUGACGGGUCGGGUCAGGGUCAACCCAAACACUCUAUGCAAAAAGUUAUAAUUGAUAAGUGUGUUACACAGCGAGUACAAGAGUUGUACUAUUUUAAUGGUAAUAUAGAUACCAAGGUUUGCUUU